rnacentral:rRNA from 1 species
CUUGGUCAUUUAGAGGAAGUAAAAGUCGUAACAAGGUUUCCGCAUCGAGUCCAUGGAACAGAUCCCAAUGAUCUUUCCGCGGUGACACUUAUCGAAGCCUUGAAUUGCGCCCUCGCAAGAGGGAGACGCCCUGACGACUAUAAACAAGAGGGACACGCAAGUCGGCCUGCGGGCCGGCGACACUUUCGAAUUGCGGGGAUAUCCUUAGAGCUCUGCCUACCAACCCGGGGGGGAAACCCCUCGGGGGCCGGUGUUAACAGCACCGGGUGCGGUAAGAAUGGUCAGAGAUUGGACAAUCCGCAGCCAAGCCCCUACGUCCCGCGGGAUAUGGGGAAGGUUCACAGACUAAGUGGAAGUGGGUGCGGCCGUUCGACCGCGCUUAAGAUAUAGUCGGGCCCCUGGCGAAAGCCAGGGGGUAAGUCACUGCACUUUGAACCGUUCCGUAGGUGAACCUGCGGAAGGAUCAUUACCGAGUUGAUUCGGGCUCCGGCCCGAUCCUCCCACCCUUUGUGUACCUACCUCUGUUGCUUUGGCGGGCCGCGGUUCUCCGCGGCCGCCCCCCUCCCCGGGGGGUGGCCAGCGCCCGCCAGAGGACCAUCAAACUCCAGUCAGUAAACGAUGCAGUCUGAAAAACAUUUAAUAAACUAAAACUUUCAACAACGGAUCUCUUGGUUCUGGCAUCGAUGAAGAACGCAGCGAAAUGCGAUAAGUAAUGUGAAUUGCAGAAUUCAGUGAAUCAUCGAAUCUUUGAACGCACAUUGCGCCCUUUGGUAUUCCGAAGGGCAUGCCUGUUCGAGCGUCAUUACAACCCUCAAGCUCUGCUUGGUAUUGGGCACCGUCCUUUGCGGGCGCGCCUCAAAGACCUCGGCGGUGGCGUCUUGCCUCAAGCGUAGUAGAACAUACAUCUCGCUUCGGAGCGCAGGGCGUCGCCCGCCGGACGAACCUUCUGAACUUUUCUCAAGGUUGACCUCGGAUCAGGUAGGGAUACCCGCUGAACUUAAGCAUAUCAAUAAGCGGAGGA